GAUGAACGCUGGCGGCGUGCCUAAUACAUGCAAGUCGAGCGAACGGACGAGAAGCUUGCUUCUCUGAUGUUAGCGGCGGACGGGUGAGUAACACGUGGAUAACCUACCUAUAAGACUGGGAUAACUUCGGGAAACCGGAGCUAAUACCGGAUAAUAUUUUGAACCGCAUGGUUCAAAAGUGAAAGACGGUCUUGCUGUCACUUAUAGAUGGAUCCGCGCUGCAUUAGCUAGUUGGUAAGGUAACGGCUUACCAAGGCAACGAUGCAUAGCCGACCUGAGAGGGGAAUCGGCCACCCUGGAACUGAGACACGGUCCAGACUCCUACGGGAGGCAGCAGUAGGGAAUCUUCCGCAAUGGGCGAAAGCCUGACGGAGCAACGCCGCGUGAGUGAUGAAGGUCUUCGGAUCGUAAAACUCUGUUAUUAGGGAAGAACAUAUGUGUAAGUAACUGUGCACAUCUUGACGGUACCUAAUCAGAAAGCCACGGCUAACUACGU
rnacentral:rRNA from 1 species